AUGCACAUUUUUGUUCUUUUUUUUCCUCCAGUGCAUCUGCCUUACAAAAUUCAAAAUAAUAGGAAAACUGAAAUACAUCUGCGUUCUUGUUUACGUAUUGAUUUGCAGUUUUAACAAAUUGUUUUUGAAAUGCAAGCAUAACUAAAUUCUUUGGUAUCUCUUUUGUUGUUAUGUGCUGCCAAGCCACUGUUUCUCUACCAAUGAAAAAACUGGAAAAGGCUGCAGAAAAGCCACCAUGACCACCCACAAGGUGCCCGCAACCUGUGACCCAACAACUCCUUUGACCCUAUAAAUGGCGGGAGGUUUAGGUCUUCACUCCAUCCUGCCAUCUCCUGAGAGACCAUCCAGGCAGCCGACUCUCCAUCGUGUCAUCUCCUGAGAAUCUGCCUCAUCUUUCAGCCAUGAAGGUCUUGGGCUUUCUUUUCGCUGUUCUCUUCUUGGUGCUGAUGGCUACGCCAGCACUUGCUGCACCAAAGACUGCUGCGGAAUGUGACAGAGCGGGCGGCAAAUGCCGGUUCCUGCGUUGCCCAACAAAUCUGACCGCCAUUGGGAAGUGCGAUAAAAAAGGCGGCGUUUGCUGCAAAAAACCAGACACAUAUAAUUCUUACAGAGGCCUGGCAUCUUGAAACAGCAGGACUUACAGGUAAAUCCAGUGAAGAUUUGAGAAGGU